rnacentral:rRNA from 1 species
ACGUAGGGAGCGAGCGUUGUCCGGAAUUACUGGGCGUAAAGGGUGCGUAGGUGGCUUGGCAAGUCAGAUGUGAAAUCCCCGGGCUUAACUCGGGUGCUGCAUUUGAAACUGCUGAGCUUGAGUGCAGGAGAGGAAAGCGGAAUUCCUAGUGUAUCGGUGAAAUGCGUAGAUAUUAGUAGGAACACCAGUGUCGACGGCGGCUUUCUGGACUGUUACUGCCACUUAGGCACGAAAGCGUCGGGACCAAACAG